CAAGAAGUGUGGCUGUGGUUUGGUGUACAUUACAAUGUACCGUGCAUAUCACAGACUGUUUUUCUUAUC